UUGUUGCAGUUAAAAAGCUCGUAGUCGGAUUUCAGUAUUAGGCCCUUCUUCCAAUACGGCUGCUAGUGGUCUUUACUUCCUUAACAGAAUCUUUCAUCUCAUUAAUUUGGGGUGUUUGGGGCCUGUUUCUUUUACUUUGAGAAAAUUAGAGUGUUCAAAGCGGGUUUUCGCCUGGAUAUUACUCUUGGAAUAAUAAUAUAGGACUUUGGUUCUUUUUUGUUGGUGACUUAGAACCGAAGUAAUGAUUGAUAGGGACAGUUGGGGUCAUUCGUACUAUGAAGCGAGAGGUGAAAUUCAUGGACCUUUGUAUGACGAACUACUGCGAAAGCAUUUGACUAGGAUGUUCCCGUUGAUCAAGAACGAAAGUUGGGGGAUCGAAGACGAUCAGAUACCGUCGUAGUCUCAACCAUAAACUAUGCCAGCUAGGGAUUGGAGGAAGAUCAUUUUACGUCUCCUUCAGCACCUUAUGAGAAAUCAAAGCAUUUGGGUUCCGGGGGGAGUAUGGUCGCAAGGCUGA
rnacentral:rRNA from 1 species